GAAGUUAGAAGGUGUUUUGCAGCCCCGGGCUGAGAGGCCCCGCAAUGUGAGAGUGGACACUCAUAGUCAAAAAGUUCUCCAUUUCAAGAACGCGUACAGCCACCUUCCUUACCGCCGGCCCUGCCGGGAGCCUGCUUCUUAUCAUUUGCACCUCAUUGCUUUCCUCACCUGCCAUCUCACACGUGGCUGCCCUGUGUUGCCCCUGUGUGCUGUGCCAAUUGUGUUUUUUUGCUCUGUGUACAUUUUGGUUUUAUUUGGGGUUGCUGUUGAUGAUUUCCUUUGUUCCGGUGUUCUGUCUCCCCUCGCUGGCUGUGUGGGGGCUGCCUGGCCCGCUGCUUGCCGCCUCCAUAGAUCCCCGUUGCGCAGCCAUCUGUCAUGGACGACAUUGAGGUGUGGCUCAGGACCGACCUGAAGGGUGAUGAUCUGGAGGAGGGUGUCACAAGUGAAGAGUUUGAUAAAUUCCUUGAAGAAAGAGCCAAAGCUGCUGAAAUGGUUCCCGACCUCCCCUCGCCCCCCAUGGAGGCUCCUGCCCCAGCCUCAAACCCUUCUGGCCGGAAGAAGCCAGAGCGGUCAGAGGAUGCCCUCUUCGCCCUGUGAGCAGCUCUGUGGUUUGCCUCCCCAGAUGGCGGGUCCCCGCUCGCACCCCGUGGACACCGGGCACUGGCCACUCCUACAUCCCC
rnacentral:lncRNA from 1 species